UACAGAGGUCUCAAGCGUUGUUCGGAUUCAUUGGGCGUAAAGGGCGCGUAGGCGGCGGGGUAAGUCGGGUGUGAAAUCUCAGAGCUCAACUCUGAAACUGCACUCGAUACUGCUCUGCUUGAGGACUGGAGAGGAGACUGGAAUUCACGGUGUAGCAGUGAAAUGCGUAGAUAUCGUGAGGAAGACCAGUGGCGAAGGCGGGUCUCUGGACA
rnacentral:rRNA from 1 species